GUUCGGUUUGGCUCCUAAACACCUUUGAGUUUUUAUUGGUCCGUAGCGAUUACGCAAUCGGCCCAGCAAACACAGAACGUUGUGAGGACGUCGCCAGUUCGUCGUCAUUUGGUCAGCGCGACAUUACUUUAUGGAGACGUUGUGAGGACGUCGUGGUAAAGUUCCAUUUUUGGAAUCUCGGCUAACGUCCCAGAAACGUCGUGGGCACGUCCUCAAAAGACGUCGCUACUAGUUAGUCCCAUUGGGGACGUUGUAGCGACGUGGUCAGCUGGUCUCCAGAUAACUUUUCAUAUUAUUGCACUAACGUUACAUGUAUUAUUAUUAUUAUUAUUAUUAUUAAGAUACCAUUUGAACAGCCUAUUAUUUGGAAAAUAUACUAAAAAUUCAAGCAUGUUAAACGAUGGCAUGAAUUCUAUAUAUAAUAUUUGCCAUCAAUUUAAGAACAAAACAAAUAAACAAUUUACUUAGCAAAUGGUGAUAAUGUUUGUUAAUGAAAGAGAUUUAUUGAAAGAGAGUACGGGACAAAUUAAUAUUUAAACCUUAAACUAGCAGCGCGCGUCACUUUCUGAGUUAAGUGCGCGACGUGCGCGUGCCCGUCAUAUUGUAACGGUCAACUUCCACCGGACGCGACGGACGCGGAGGAAAAGGUCCUGACUGCCACCAGUUGAGUCAAUGAUUCGGAGAAGAGACAGUCUGGGCAGCAGCAACAAGACAACUAUUACAAGUAGAGAUGGGUUUUCAGAACUGGUACUACUUUGGUUCCUGACUUGUUCGACACAACCACAGAUCAUCCAAAUCAUCUCCAAGUGGAUGGCAGCAAGGAUCCAGGAUCAAGAGAUGAUUCUUCAUGAAGACUGUUCCAUAGGAAGCAGUGAAUCCUGGGUGAAAAACUAAACCUGGUUGUUUCAGCAUCACUCAGAUUUGAGGGAAAGGUGAAAAAUAAGGAGGUCUGGGAACGACUGAAGAAGACAGCAGUGAGGGAAGGAAGUAAUCACCAGAAUCUGCCAGAGAAGGAUAUUGACAAUGCAGGCUCAGGAUGAAGAAGAGGAGGAAGAACAUGUUUAACAAUUUUCUCAUAAACUUGCCAUGUGUUAUAAUAAAAACAAUGAACAUGACUACAGUAAUAUGCUAAAUGGUAUUAAAAGAUUCCAGUUUGCAAGAAAUCUGAGUCUCUGACUCUACACUAGAGGAACUCUUUCCUGAAGAAGAUCAGGUGCUGAGAAGGAGCCUUGUUCUACAGCAAAACACUGCAUCAAGCUUCCUGUCCUUCCCUCAGAAGAGCCUGUCUUCUGCUGCUGGGGUAAGAAAGACACUCUUCCUCUUCUCUAUCGGCUGUCCAGCACCUAACUCUGCCUCCUCAGCACUGACUGAAAGAGUCUUCUCCACAGUUCGUUAUCAGAGUAUUCACAGAUUCUCCUGAGAAAGUCAAUAUGCUCAUUUUCUUAAACUGUUUGUGUUUUUUUUGGGGUGGGACAAAUAAUACAGGAGAGAUGCUAGAAAUCUCUAUAUUUUUUCAUUUUUCAUAUCUUUACCCUUUAUGAAUGUUUUUUUUUUUUUAAUCUUCUGAGAAGCUCAAGAAUUAUGGUUCUUUGGUAACUGCAAUAUUGUUUAGGUUUAUUUUCUGAUAGUGAGACAUGCAAGAAAAAAAUAAAUAAAUCGUGUCCACGAUUUACUAAUUCGUUCCCUCAAUGUACUAAAACGUGCACGAUUACUUUUACAUUUCAUCGAUUUGCUAAAUCGUCCGCUCAAUUUACUAAUUUGUUCUCUCGAUUUAUAAAAUAGUGUACACGAUUAAGCAAGUCGAGGGAAUGAAAUAGUAAAUCGUGGCACGAUUUAGCCUACUUUUUUUUUUCUGCAUGCCGUGUAAUUAAAGCACAUCACCACCAGACAUUUAUACCAGAUGCCUCAUAUAUGACGCUCAGGAAACAAUUUAACUUUUUUUCUGGAAAAAAAGUGCCGUAUCUGCUGAAUUGUUUCAUAUCUAUUUAUCAUGUCUUUAUUUUUUGCACCAAAUUAUGUAGAGUUGUAUCAAUGAGUGUACUGAUAAUUAUUUAUAAUUUUCACUGAUAACGUCAUUAUUAACUAUCCCCAUCCUUAAGACAGACAUUUUCUAUUGUUUAUAUUGUGUAAUCUAUGAAUUGAUGUGUUCAGUUUUCUGUGCUCAUAACUUGCAUGGUUGAAGAACAGGUGCAAUGUUCAAAAUGUUUUGGCUUAGUAUUUUUAGAAAGUAGUGCU
ensembl:lncRNA